UGUGUGCAUGUGGGGAGGGGCUGGCCCUGGCCCUGCAGGUCCAUGGUGAGGCCUGCACAUCAGGCCUGUGCUGAGGGCACAGGGCAGAGCUGAAGGCAAGGCCUGCAGCCCACGCAGAGCACGUGGCAGAGCUGAAGGCCCGGCAGCCUUGUCAGUCGGGCGGUCAGUCAAGGCAGAGCUGCCUGGCAGCUCGCCCACACCACACCCCUGCAGCCUGUGACUGGCUACAGCACAACUCAGCUGGGGCUGGAAGGCCCUGACCAGAUAUCCUGCCUGGGAGGGAAAACUGAACUCUAUAAAUACAUGACACUCCAUGUGGUCUCUCUCUUCUCCCUCUCUAGCUGGCACCAUGUGAAUUGCCGAAUCUUGUCGCACAAGGGAAGAGAGAAGCCACAGGGCCUUCUAAGAAUGCUAUUUUUGCUCCUUGGUUCAUUCAUGGAUUCAGCUGGGAUGGAUGACUGACAGAAUAUAUCCCUCUCAUCAAAGUCCAGACAUACUAGUGAAGGCUCCUCUGUAGCCAGGAGAAAACAACAGCUCAACUCACCUGUAUAUGUUUACCUGCACUGCCUGGUCACAAAGGAUAUCAAGAUAAAUGUACAGUUAACUAUACAGAUAAAGGUAGAGUAAAAAAUAAGAGAGUUACAAAAAUGAUAAAUUGCACCACUUAAAUCUCUAAUGACUGUAGAGCGAAAACAAUUUGCUAUUAAAAGACAUCCAUGUUAUAUCUUCUGAAAAGUAAAUUACGAGAAAAAAGUUUAAGAGUUUCUCAAAAAACUCUGCUUUGAAAAUACAGUUGCAUUAUAUGAAAAGAAUUGUUGAAAUUUCAAUGUUAGUAUGCACUACUCUUAAAAAAAAAGAGGUAAAAGAGACCUUUCCAUAGCAGGAGACUGUACCUAAAAAUCUCAGAAAUACAUAGAGAUCCUUAUGCCUUUCUCUUUCCUAGUUUUUCAAACAGCAAAAAUGGGCAAACUAAGUAAAGAUCACAAAUUCCUUCAUCUUCCAUCUGUGUUCCCACUUCUGCCAAAACUUAAAGAUUUUUUGUGCACAAAGUAUUAGAAGAGGUUUUUUAAUGAGAUCCAGAUAUACUGAAGAGUAACUAGCAAGGGUCAAAGAUGACAAGCACUUUAGAGGUGGGCUGCUACAAAGUCAGAAGAAACUACUUAUAAAAUCAUAGGAUCAUAGAAUGGUUUGUGUUGGAAAGGAUCUU